rnacentral:tRNA from 1 species
GGGGUGGUGGCGCAUUUGGCUAGCGCCUGAAUCGUGAGUGAUCCUGAGGUCGAGAGUUCGAGCCUCUCUCAGCCCA